UUCUCGGUUCUUCUUCUUUUUCUUCAUUUCUUCUUUUCUUCCUCUCUUUCCUAUGUUCUUCAUGCUCGUCAAUUUUUGAGAAGACUGAGUGAAUUUGAGGACGGAAAUUAGGGGAAAAUGUCAAGAGCUGACCGUUUGUGAUGAUGUUACGGUUGAUUGAACAGGAGAUGAUAGAAUAGCUACUGUAAAUCGAAGUUAGGAUUUCUGGUUAGGGUUUGUAUAGAAUUGAGAGAUGAUUUGGGUUGUUGUUAGAUGAAGAACGAUUGGGUUGAGAUUUAAUUAAAGCUCUGAAGCUGUUUGGAGGUGAAAUUGAGAAUUAGGGUUCGUCCCGUUCUUCUCCAAAUUAGAAUUAGGAUUUGUAAAAAGUUCAAAGAAAAAUCAACAGAUGAAGUUGUCGAUUUAGGGGAUUAAAUUAAAUGAUGGGUUUUGAAGAGCAUUGGAAUGGAGUUGCAUGAGGAAUCAAAGUUUCAUAUGAUGAAAUUAGCGAUGGUGAUGAAUUCCAGGUCUAGAACGAUAAUUCUAGGGUUUUAAUUGAAGUAAGUGGUGAAGUAAUAAGUCAGAGGAUGCUGAUACUGGGUAAGUCUCCGAUUUGUCUUAAUUAUAAUAGUUUUGAGUUCAAUUGCUUCGUGUUCAUAGUAUGGGUAAUUGGGAAUUGAAUUGAAGUUGAUGAAAACUAUGAGGCAUGGUUUGAAGAGGAAUUUGAUUGGUAGAAGCUGAACGUGCUAAUGAUUGAGGUUUCCUCUAUAAAUUUUGUAAGAGUAUUUCUUGUCGUUGAUAAUAACAUUGAAAUGGUGGUAAAUGAGGAUUAUUGAGUUAUGUAUUCUAUUUGUUGAAGUAUAUGUUGUUAAUGAAGCUAAGAUAUGAGGUUGAGAUGGUGUUGCAGAGAACUGUUAUAUUGGUUUUACAGUAGUCUGGUAAUUGAAUUGAAGGUUUUUGUGGUAUUGCUAUAAACUGAUACAUAUGAAGAACAUGAAUGAGAUUAUAUAUUCAUUGUGCUUAAAUGGAUAAGUUGUAUGUGAUUUGAAUUUAACGAUUUUGGUGGUGAUGGAUAUGUGUAUGAACUGUGUAAGUGAAAAGGCUGGUGGUUUGAGUUAUAAGAAUGAAUGCAUAGAUAUUCUUGUUGAAUGUAACUGAAUUAGCAGUGAAUAUGGUUUAAUUGGAUGAGUUUGGAUUUGGGCAUAAGUCUAUGAGUUAUAGAUGGAAAGAAUGAUUGAAUUGAGACAAGUCUGGUGGCAGAUGGAUAUGAAUAAGUUAAGAGUUGAGAUGGCAGUGGAGCUGAAAUUUCAGGUGUAGAUGCCGUGGCUAGUUUAUGAGAUAACAAUGUUUGUGGUGCUGCUGAUAUGAAUUGGGUAUGGAAUACAAGAACUGUUGGUGGGUUUUUCCGAAUGUGGAAAUGGGGUUGAGCAGAAUUGAAUUGUGUUGGUAAUGGUGGUUGUUGAGGGUAAUAACUUCAGUAGAGGCUUGCAACUGCCAUUGCAGGUAAGCUGAGCUUAUUGUUGUAAAUAAGUUAUGAAGUUUAACUUAAUGUGUUAUUAUUGUAAUGGGUUUGUAAAUGUAUUUUGAUUGAACUGAAAUGUUAUAGGUGAAGUGAGAUGGAAAAAGAGUAGUUGUAAUGUUGUGUUGGAAGUAGUUGUGAGAGCCGCAAUUGCAGAUCAGUUAGUCUAUAUUAACAACGAUCGAUUCAAAGGACGAACUAGUGGAUCGUGGAUCUCGAGGUAGGCGUGGCUUGUCAUCAAAAAGUUUCAGAGACAGAUCAGAGUUGCGCAGUGAAAGCUUCAAGGAUUGAUUUCGUUAGUUGGAUAACUUUUACUAUGUAUAUUAUAUUGCAUAUCGUACUUGUAAACCAAAAGACUAUUGUAUAUGUAUCAUAUGAGAGGAGUUCUUGUAUAUAUAUAUUUUUGAGCGGGGAUAGUUUUUGGUUAAAUUUUGUAGCAGUUUUCUUAAUCGAAUUUUUAAGUAACGAGUUAGAUUUUUU